rnacentral:lncRNA from 1 species
AAAAAAGAGGCAACAGAUAUUGAGUGGCAAAGCGAGAAGUGGCCGCUGUGUGCUCGAACGGCGUGCCCCUGCCUUGCUCGACAGCAGCAUAUUUUGUUUUCAGUUUUCAAAGGUCUCUCGCGGCCGGCUACGAGAAAGAUGCUCCUCUCGUGCGGAAGCCACGCCCGCCCAAGAAGAAACGGGCCGAUCCCGCCGGCCGGCCGGCCGUCCACGCUUCCGGCGACGGUUGCUUGGCUCUCGAGCCGGACGAAAAGCGCCGGACUUGACGAGGGACGUCCACAGCUGGACGGACAGCGCCCAUGCCAAACGGUUACGGUAAAAAAUAAUCUUGGACUGCAAGAAAAUACUGGCAUGUCUUUGUUUGGUCUAUUUGGCAUUUGGGUGCCCCGUUUCUCGCCUUCGUGCCGAAGCAGCAGCUACCUUCCAGGGGUUCCCGAACAAGAACAUCGUAUUCGUUGUUUAAUUUGCCUCCUCCAAUGUUACAUGCAAAUGAGAGUGGCAUCGAACAAAGCAGCUGCCGCAAGAUGCAAUGACGUGAACUGGCCCCACUGGAUUUCGGUGUUUUUCUUUUUUGCUAAUACGUGUCUCAAUUAUUCUCUUUGUAUCUAAAUACUUGUAGUUGAAGAAAAAAUACUGUAGUCUAUUCCUCUGUCACUAUCUAUAUCUAUACCUACCUAAUAAUAAAGCGGUUAUUGCUUCCGUCGGAAAACCCACCACGAUAUUUUUAUUAAAAAAAACCUUGUAAUUUUUGUGAUAGGUAGAAUCCCUGCCCUAAUAUUUCUUAAUAAAGAAAAGUUCUGUACCAUCACCGAUCGUUGCACGAGUUGACGCUCAAUGGAUUGACAUGAUGCAUGCUGGCCAGGUGAAGGAGCCCGUCGUCAAUAGAUAGCCGGACGUGACGGGAGCUUGCACGCAAUAACUCAAAUAUUGACGUUGACGCAUGCAUGCAUGUAAGCAAAUUGACGGGCGAGGGUUGCUGUCGUGUUCAGUACACUUGUCCACUAGCCGCGCUCAUCUUCCCAGGCAGUCCUGAAAUCUUAAAAAAAGAUCAUUGGUGCGACUCCACGCCAUCAAGCUCGCCCGAGGAGAAACGAGAUCUCCUCCGCUCCCUCGUCUGUGAGUCUCAUCGAAAUCGAGCUCCUGGAGAGGCAGGAGCUUGCCUCGCUACCUUGGUUGCGCUGGUUGCCGGUCGCCGGCCACCGCACUUGCGCAGUUACCUCGAGUGCCUCCAAGCGACACAGAUCUAAGGUAGGAAGGGACUUUGCGUGGAAAGAGAGAGAUGAAGACUUAGAGAGACGAUGCAUGGACAAAAUCGCUGGAAAGAGAAUAACGGCAGACAACCAACCGUCAAUAGCCUAUCCAUCUUAGCAUCAAACCAAAACAAAUAUGGUUCCCACGAAGGGGCGUGCGGUGUGUAGCAAAAUUGACUGCGUGAUGUGCUCUAGAUUUCCUAUUAUAUUCUUUCUGAUGCGUAUACUAUGGUUCAUUUUGAGCUGAGAUUUUUGCAUGCACAAGUGGAUUUUGUGCCUCCUAAUGAUUACGCAUGUCUCAUGGAUUUGUGGCUACUGGCCUACUGCUUGUUUGUCACAUGAUUAGUCACGUGGAGAUGGAUUUCUGGGUACAAGUGAUUAAGCUUGUGAUUUUAUGAUCAUUAUCUCCAUUCUUUUCUUGAUCUCGCUUUUGCACCAUCAAUUUUUCUCAUCUUCUCUUUUAAUAUGUUUUUUCUAUCGUGCCUACUAUUUUUCGUAGAUGUUGGGCAGAAAGGUUAUGCAUGGGCAGAUCCAUCAAGAUAUUACUAUACCUCGACCCAAGAUCAUCACGUGUGAGAGGUGGGUGUUUCGGUCACACAAAGACAAAAAUGAGCUUUAGUUGCACACUUUAAUGUUCAAAUUUGAAGUUGUUUGUUCAAAAUCCAUACUAAAAUGCGAAGAGUAUUGCCUAUAAAAUAAUUGUAUUUUGCGCAUAAAAAAACAAAUAUUGUUCUUCCCGUUGCAACGCACGGGCAUUUGUGCUAGUAAAUAUUUAGGUAAAAGAAACUAUAUCAUGAUGAUCAUAACACUAGUCACGUAGGAACUAAUAGAACAUCACAACGUUAGUCUUUACAUAAAGAAACACCAACAAAAAAGUUUCGUGCCGCGAAAUGAAAGUAGCCCAAAUUGUUAGAUUUUUUUCGAUGGAAACAACCUAUCAAGGUUUAAGUUUUAGACUUAGCAUUGAUGGACACAUUUUUCUAAAUUUAUUUUAGUCUUUUUGAUGACAUGAAUUUAGUGAGAGAAAAUGUUUUAAUCGACUAGACGUUUAUGAUGACUUCUUCAAUAUUAAGAUAAUAUAACGGUUCAGUCUAACGAAGAUGUUCAUAAAGGUUUAGUGUGUGAACAUGCUAGAUAUGAGUGUAUAUGCGUAUGUACGUGUGUAUGCAUCUGUGCCGUGUUGAAAAGAAAUUUUGUGGGUUUCUUUGAAACCAAGAGAGAGAACAUUGAUAUGAAUACUUUAGGUUCUAUUGCUGGUAAUAAAAAAAUUCGUGGCAUCAACUACCUGCACUAAGAACUGCGGGGGGGGGGGGGGNNNNNNNNNNNNNNNNNNNNNNNNNNNNNGAUGCGGAUGUUUUUGAAAUUAUUGGCUUUGUCAAUAGGAGAUAUAGUGUGACUGCUACGGUUAAGAACAAGCAUGAUAAGAAUGUUUGGCAAUUUGUUGCGAUUUAUGGUACUUCUUAUAAUGAACACAAACUGGAAUUUAUUACUGAGCUUCAUGAGGUGAUGAGUUGUGCAACAUAUCCCAUCAUUCUGGGUGGUGAAUUUAACUUAGUCAGAUCUGAUUCAGACAAGAGCACGGGUAUUGUGAAUCAGACAACUACUUCCGUUUUUAAUGAUUGGGUUAAUAAAUGGGGUCUGAUGGAGAUUAAUGUUGCCAACAGAAAGUAUACUUGGAGUAAUAAUCAGGAGAACCCGAUUUAUGCUACUAUUGAUAGAGUUUUUGUUUCACCGUCCUGGGAUGUUCAGUGUCCUUUGUCAGUAUUGAGAGCCUUACCUAGGAUNNNNNNNNNNNNNNNNNNNNNNNUUAUGGCUCGGAGAGUUGUCUCUCCUGGGAUGUUUAGAUUUGAGAAGUGGUGGCUAGAUCAGCCUGGUUUUAGGGAGAUGGUGGAAAAAGUUUGUAACACUCCUAGCGGAGGCAGAGAGGCCAUUGAUGUUUGGGUUCUUAAGACCAAGCGUCUUAGAAAAAAGAUUAAAGGUUGGAGUGCGAAUGUAGAAGCUGCCAUUAAAAAGAAGAAAAGAGACCUGAUUCAGGAAUUUGACAUACUGGAUGUUUUUGCGGAAACAGACAGAGUUACGGAGGAGGAUAAAAAACAUAUGAAGGAUAUUAAAGUUGAGUUGGAGGAUAUUUUAAGGAAGGAGGAAACUACCUUGUGGCGGCGGUCUAGAGAUCGGAGGAUUAAAGAGGGAGACAAGAAUAAUGCAUAUUUUCACGCUUUAGCUAAUCAUAGGCAUCGUAAGAAUCAUCUUUCUGAACUAGUGGGAGACCAGGGCCCUGUUUCUACUACGGGAGAGAUGUUGGACAUUGUGACCUCUUUUUACAAAAACUUGUUUGCCCGAGAGGAAAGACAUGAUAUACAUCUUGGUCCUGCUUUUUGGCGGGGGGAUGAAGUGAUCACUGAUUCUGAAAAUGAUGAACUACAAAAGAAUUUUUCGGAGGAAGAAAUUAAAAGUGCAACUUUUGGCUCAUAUGCCAAUGGUGCUCUUGGGCCUGAUGGCCUUUCNNNNNNNNNNNNNNNNNNNNNNNNNNNNNNNNNNNNNNNNNNNNNNNNCGUGAGAUCAAGACUGACCUUAUGGCAAUGGUUAAGGAUUUUGAGGAAGGGAGAUUAGAUUUGCAGAGGUUAAACUUUGCUUUAAUCAUUCUUAUUCCUAAAGAGCCAGAUGUCAAUGUUAUGAGGAAAUUUAGACCUAUGAGUCUUAGUAACUGUGUGGUUAAGAUCUUUUCAAAGGUGUUAACUAAUAGAUUAUCUCCUAUUAGUAACAGAUUGGUCUCUCCAAAUCAAACUGCUUUUAUUAAAGGCAGGUAUAUAUUGGAGAGUGUGGUCCUUGCUCACGAAGUGAUUCAUGAGGUGAAAAAGUCUAACAGUCCAGGGCUUAUGCUUAAGUUGGACUAUGAGAAGGCAUAUGAUAGAGUUAGUUGGGAUUUUCUGUUUGAAAUAUUAGAAUCUAGGGGUUUCUGCCCUAAGUGAAUUUCUUGGAUCAAAUGCCUACUGCAUAAUAACACUUUUAGUGUUCGAAUAAAUGAUACUACAGAGCCUUACUUUAUGAGUGGGAAAGGUCUCAAGCAGGGGGAUCCUAUAUCUCCCAUUCUUUUUAAUUUAGUGGCAGAUGUCUUUUCUAAGAUGCUAAAUAAAGCUAUUGAUCAAGGUUUAAUUUCUGGGCUGCUGGCUAAUGCAAUCCCCCCGGGGGGGGGGGGUCAUUAGUCUGCAGUAUGCGGAUGACACGCUGUUGUUUUUAGAGGAUUCAAAUGAAAAAGCAAGGAAUUUUAAAUGGAUUAUGUCCUGUUCUGAGAACCUCUCAGGUAUGAAGAUCAACUUUCACAAAAGUGAUCUCAUCACUAUCAAUAUUGAUGAAACGAGGGCUAAUCUUUUUGCCCAAAUUUUCUGUUGCAAUAUAGGAUCUUUUCCUAUUAAAUAUUUUGGGGUACCUCUUCAUUAUGACAAGUUGAGGAGGGAGGAUUUACAACCUUUAAUUGAUAGAAUUAUCAAGGGUAUCUCAGGUUGGCUAGGUAGAUAUCUUACUUUUAGGGGCAAGAUUAUUUUACUCUGUGCUUGUAUUGUGAGCAUUCCAGCUUACCUUAUCACGAUUGUGAAAUUUCUUAAGUGGGCUAUCAAUGCCAUCAACUCCCAUAUGGCCCAUUUUUUGUGGGGUAACAUGGGGGAUCAGCACAAAUUCCAUUUGGCUAGCUGGGGUUUGGUGUCUAGGAAGAAGGAAUUUGGGGGCUUGGGGAUUCCUAAUAUUAGAGAAUAUAAUAUGGCCCUACUAGCUUCCUGGGGGAAGAGAUUUUUCCUUAGUAAUUCUGGGGAGUGGAAGAGAGUGAUCACCUAUAAAUAUGAUGUGUCCAGUCCAAAUAUUUUCCGGACCAGACAACAGUUAGGCUCUCCCUUUUGGAAGGGUGUGUCCUGGGCUCUACAAGCCUCCAGGAAUUUUUACCAUUGGAAGAUUGGUAAUGGUGUUAAUGUGAGUUUUUGGCAUGACACUUGGGCUGGGGAUUGUUCCCUUAAGGUAAAAUUUUGGGAAUUGUUUGAUAUUUGCAAUCAACAGGAAUGUACUGUGUCUCAGGUUUGGGAUGGGGUGGUGCUGAGGCUUUCUUUUAGAAGAUGUGUAGAUAGUAGGGUCAUGAAUGAAUGCGAGAAUCUUAUUGGCCAUAUUAGAAAUUACCCUUUAUCUGAUUCUCCUGAUACACCUAUAUGGUCUUUGGAAGCCAGUGGUGCCUACUCUAUUAAAUCUUUCUAUAAAUGUAUUAAUUUUGGUGGUGUGGUUUCCCCUUUUGGAGAUUCUUUAUGGAAAACACUUUGGCCCCAGAAGAUUCAUGUGUUUUUGUGGCUUUGUCUUUAUAACAAGGCACUAACUAGAGAUAAUGUGGCAAAAAGAAUGACUAUGGAAGAUAAUACUUGCUUAUUUUGUAGAGAAGCUGAAUCAAUUCAACAUUUAUUCUUUGAUUGCAUGAACGCUAAACUCAUUUGGGAUGUCAUAGCUGAGUUCUUUAAAAUCAGUAAAAUAACUUGUAUUACUGAGGUUGCUUCCUUUUGGAAAGUUAACAAACAAAAACCUGUUCUGAAUUUGGUGAUUGCUGCCUCCUUGUGGAGUAUUUGAAAAUUAAGAAAAGAGUUUUGCUUCCAGGGGCGCAUGUGGAGAAAUCUGGACUGCAAUCUUGUCAAACUAAGAGGGUUGCUUCAUCGAUGGGGAGUUCUCUGCGACACUGCACAGCUAGCCGAGCUGAACCAGUUCAUCCUACUGCUGGACAAGAGGCGGGGAGAAAUAAUGAGGAUUGCCUGGCACUGUGAUCCGUGAUAUGUUGCAGAAGCUAUGUUUCAUUACAGGGUGCGCAAAAAUGUUUAGGUGUUUUGUUUUGGUCCUGUAAUAAGUAGAUACUACUUCCUUCCAGGACAAUUGCUUUUUGG